rnacentral:lncRNA from 1 species
CAAAAAACAUUUGGUCAAUUUUGAAAAUACAGUUACAUGUUUAAAAGCACAUCUGAUAUUUUUACUGUUUUAUGUAUGAAUUCAAACAAUUAUUUGUGUUUUAUAUCGAGAAUUACUUCAGCUGCCAUGAAAAAGAAAAUAUUGUGAGAUGCUUUGGAACAUUCUUGGGACAAUUGUAUAUUUGGUGAAAUACAACAGAAAGGACAUUUCAUUAAUUGGAUAAAAUGGAUUCAGUGAACUGAUCAGUACAAAAACCUAUGUUGAAAAGCAUAUAAAAGUAGCCAUGGUAGCAGCUCCAAGGAAGAUGGUUAAAUAAAUCUUCAACCAAGUCUGAGGCUUUACCAAGAAAAUAAGAAGGCAAGUUUAAAUAAGCCAAAAAUUUCUAUACAUGCUAUCGGUAAUUUGAUUAAAAUAGAAGGCAAGUUUAAAUAAGUCAAAAAUUUCUAUACAUGCUAUCAGUAAUUUGAUUAAAAUGUAUAUUUAGGGCAUAUAAUAGAGUUACAGUGGAGAUAAUGAUGUUGCUAAUGUAAAAUGAUAUUUUUGCAAUUCAAUGGGAGAUAACUCAUAAUUUACCUUUAUGAACAAUGGAAUAUAUUUAAAUCAUUAUUUUUGUGGAGUUGGAAAUUCAAAUAAUAAACUUAUAAGACUUAUUUUUUUUUUUUAAUCUUUUAUAUUGAUUUUUCAGUUAUUUAGGUUAUAGUAAGAAAUCGGAACAAUAUUUUGUUAAUGUCAGGGAAAUUGAAAUGUAACUUAUAUAAAUUGGCAAUUUUUAUAUUUUAGGUUCUUUCUGUGAGAUGUUUUCUGGUGUGGGAAUAAGACUUGGUGGUCUGAUAAAGCUAAUAUAUAGGUAUGUACCAGUACUGUUUUGAAAAGAAAUAAAUUAUCAAUGUAUUAUAAAAAUACAUAAAGUACAUGUUUUUUACUCUCUUGGCCUUGAAAUAUUCAAACAUUUAAUUUCUGUAAUUAAUUUCUACUCACUUUUUAUAUGAGUACAAAUACAAUGUAUAUGUGUAAAUCAAGGGCAUACGAUACAGUUUUGAUCCCGUAUUUACAGUUUGAUGAAAAUUUCCAUAUAGGCUAUUUUUUGCCUGAUUAAAUCAAAUAUGUAAUAAAAAAUAUACCUUCAUGUGCUACUUUUUGAGUUAAAUGAAAUCGAAAUUUUGUAUAUUUGCUCAAUUUUCAGAUUUGUGGUCGUAUUUUCCCUUUCGAAAGAAAGCCAUAACUUUUUUGUUUUAAAAGAUAAACACAAAUUGUUUUUUGUUAAAUAAUUUGUAAUUUCUGUAUUUUAUAAGUAUCCUAAAAAAUUAUGCAUUUUUUAUUCAGAAAUAACUCAUAGUUAUCAAAUGGUCAUGAAUUGAGAAAAAAAACGUAAUUUUUUGCUGUAUAAUUAUCAAAAUUAAAAAAAUUGCACUAUUUACAGUUUUAUAAAAUUUGGUCCACAUAAUCUCCCUGCAAAAUGAAUCAAAAUGUCGUUUUAAAAAUAGGGGUCCAUGCACUCGUUUUCAAAUUAAAUCAGUUUGAAUGAUAAAAAUCAGUCGAAAAAUGCAUCUUUUCCCGAUAUGUCAUAGUUUGACGUCGCGAAAAUAACAUUUUACGUUAGCAACGUCAUUAGUUGGAUUGCUCUCUCGUCUGUUCUCAACAUCUAUUACAUGAAUAUGACCCAUUUCUUUAUAAUUUUCAUACAUUAACAGUGAUCCUUUCAAAAUAAUUUGGUUAACUAAGCAUUUUAUGUUCUUUUAAAUUUCAGCUUAGCAUCACUGAGCUUGUCUGUAAGGAUUGAAGCUGGGAGUGGGCAAUGGAGCUGACUUUUAUGGUAAGAACCAAUACAAAAAUUAAUGAAUUAUUCAGCCAAGAGCAUGUAAAUACCAUAGAAUAUUAUUAUGCAAAGAAGUUUUAUAUUUUGAUUAUGCAUAGAAGUAUUAUAUUUAAACUGUGUAGAGAAGUGUUAUAUUUUAAUUUUUCUAAAACUAUAUCUGUAUAUAUAAUCAAAUCAGAAAACAAAAAAAAUCAUUUCUUAAUAGGAAAGGUGGUAACAAGAUAAAUAAACGAAAUCAAAAAUUAUGCUGUAACUUAAAAAAAAUCUUUCAAUCUGUUUUACGAUAUCUAAAAUUGUCCCUGUAAAUUAAGUAAAUGAGAUGUGGCUUAAUUGCUAAUGAAAUAAAGAUUUCCCAGAGACCAAAUGACAUGGAUGCAUUCUUCUAAUAGUCACUGUAUGACCUUCAACAAUGAGCAAAACCUAUACCUUACAUAUAACUAUGAAAGUCUACAACAUGACAAAAUGUGAAACAAUUCAAACAAGAAAACCAAUAGCUUGUGAUUUAUGAUGAAACAAUGAAAUAAUAAAAAAAAUCCCUUGUUUGCAAAGGAAGACUGGUUGAUUGUAAAUUCAUGUCUACACAUCACUUCAAAAUAAUGGUAAAAGCAAUGUUCUAUGCAUCAUAAGUGCAAUUGCCAGUUACAUGUACUUGUUUCUUUGCAUUGAAUAUUGUUCUGACAGAUAUUAGAAUGUAUAUUUCUUUUUCAGGUGACUUCAACUGUGGCUGCAGGAAAUUAUUGUGCAAUUCAACUGAAACAAAAAAGAAUGUAAUUCAGACUAUUUUUGUGUAUGUUUAAAAAAAAAUUGUAAAGAUUCUCCAUUUUCAACAAAGCUGGAAGUUGUAGGCUAAAUUGAUACUUCAUAAUUUUACUUUAUUACUUAUAGACCUACUUAAGUUAUCUUAAUGAUGGUCUUUGUGUAUCCAAAACAUUUCUAGUAGUUUUAGAAUGGAGAAUCUAAAAAAAAAAAAAAAAAAAAAAAGAAAAAGAAAUGUAUUUUUUUUAGUUUUCUGAUUUGUAUUAUAUAAAUAUUUUUCCAAUGUUUUGUUAUACUUAUUUUUAGCAAUGUUUUAGCUCAAACAAAUUAUUUCAAAAGAAGCAUAGUAAAGAAACAUCCUGGUGAAAAAAGAUUGAUUGAUUUUUAGUGUUAAACAUCACUUUCAGCAAUAUUGAUUAUAUCUUGGUGGCCAUUUUUUUUUAUUGGUUGAGAAAGUCAGAGUAAUGGGAGAGAACCACCAAAUUGAAAAUUGAUGUACUAAAUAUUUUUUUUAAAUGUUUGAAUAUUUUAUAUCAAAUUAUUUAUUUUUAAUUAUAGCUAUACCAUUUUUUUGUUGUUAGAUAUAGCAAUGAUGUGGAGUCCAAACAGGUGAAAUUUUUGGCAAAGGGAGGUAAUUUAUUAUUCCCCUGUUUAACUCCUUAUUCUUGAAAUUUCCUCAUGGUAGGGAAUAUAUAACUAUUUACUUUAAUUUCACAUUUGUACAAGUUUUGGGUUUAAUAUCAGAUGUAUACUAGCUAAUAAGGACUAUUAUUCAGAGUUCUGUAAAUAAAAAAAUGUAAACAGAGCUCUAGAUAAUAGAUUUGAGGGUGGGAGAAAUCAUGGGUUACUUCUUGUAGAAUUGAUUUGGUGAAAUUUUCAAGAUAGGAGAUUAAUUGAAAGUGCAUCUGAUAUCUUUAUUCAUUUCUAUAAAUAAUGGACCAAAAAAUGACAGAUUGACAAUCAGAUAAUGAUGACAGCCACCCUGGCAGCCAGGAGAGCAGCUCUAAGGAAGAUGGUCAAUAAAAUCUUCAACCAAGUCUGAGGCUUUACCAUGAAAUUGAGAAGGCAAGUUUAUUGAAGUCAAACAAUUUUUAUACAUUUUCUAGAAAUAUUUGAUAAAAAGUGCAUAUUCAUCUUUUUUUUCUGCGUGAAAAACAUCUUUGAAGAAUGUAUUUACCAGUUUAAUAUUUUGAGAUACCAGUUACAUUAACAAGAAUUUCUAUCACAAUUACUGGAGUAAAUCCUGAGAUAGGGAUUAUAUCUCAAGGGGAGACUAGUUUUAUUAACAGCAAGAUUUGUUCAUUCAAUGGGAGACAACUCAUUUUCAUUAUUCAAAUUAGUUGAGUUCAGUUGAAAUUCAAAUCAUAAAACUUUGACAAUUUUUUUUUUUUUUCAAUCUUUAUAAAUUUUACAGAAUAUGUGGAUGUUAUACUAUUGGUACAUGAAGUAAGAAAUCAGAACAAUUUGUAAAGUAAUCUUUAGGUUGACAUAGAAAUUGGUUUGUAAAAUUAAUAAAUGUGUUAAUUUCUUUUUAGGUACUUUCUGUGGCAUGUUUUCAUGGUGUUGGAAUAAGACUUGGUGGUCAAAUACAGCUAAUAUGAAGGUAGGUACCAGUAAUAUUAAUCCUGUUUAAAAAAAAUAAUUCUAUAAAUAAUAUUAUUUGGAAAUAAAUACUGACUAGGGUUAAAGGUUUAUAAAAGUUUGGUCAACAGUAUACUCUUUAUUUUAUCAGUACCAUAUGACAAUGUUCACUUGGCAAAAUAUGGCCUUAUUAUAGAUUUUAAAUUUCAACUUUCAUCAUAGAAUUCCAAAAAGGCCCCAAUCUGGUUCUUAAAUGGAUAUAUCAAGAGACUUAUGGCGACAUAAAAGAAAAAGCUUCUUUAUAAUACACUGUAGACUCCAUAAUUAGCUAAAUUGGGAGAUAUUAUCAAAAUGCGAUGUUCUUACCUAAAAGCUUAAAGAAUACCUUUGAUCCAAAAUGUUAAGUAACCUAUAGGUGCCAAGGGUAAUAUUUAAAUUACAAGACAUACACUAUUACUGGAUCAGGGAAAGUGAAUUAUGCUGAAAACUGUUCUAAAUUGUGAAAAAUUGGACCUUUAUUGGCGCUUUUGCGAAAAACACCAGAAUUGCAUAAUCAAGAGGUCAUAACUUUGUAGUUUAUAUUGUUAAAUGCCAAAAAAAGAAGUGGUUAUUUUGUAUCAAAAAUGAUACCACAACAAUUUAUAUGUAGCAUUUGGACCUGAAUUAAAAAAGAUUAAAAUCUUAUGGCCAACUUUAGCCCUUUUAAACCUACCGCUUUUAAGGAUUGAAUUGGGUUGUUGGAUUGAUGUCUUAUCAAUGUUCUCAAAACCUGUCACAUGUAUAUAACCCAUUUUAUAUAAAGUAGAUACGGUAUUCCAGAAGUGAUCCUUUAAAACAAUUUUGAUUGACUAAGCAUUUUAUAUUUCAGGUUAGCACCACAGCUUGUCUGUAGGGAUUGAAGCUGGGAAAGGGCCAUUGGAGCUGAAUUUUAUGGUAAGAACUAAAAAAAAGAUUGAACUAUUCAUCUAAGAGUAUGUAAAUGCACCAUGGACUUUUUUAUGUACACAUGUAGAUCUAACAUUUAAAAAAAAAAAUCCAAAUUAAAAGUUUAUUUAUACCGGUAAUCUGGAUAGGGUAUAUAAGAAUAAAGAGAUGUUAUAAGAUUGCCAACUACACAACUAUCAAUAAAGGAAGCAAAUUACAGUCACCGUAGGACAUUCAGCAAUGAGCAAAAUCUAUAUGAAUGUAAAUAAUGCAACUGGUUGAAUAUCACAAUAGGAACUCAGUGUAUUCAUAAUUUUAAUCUCUGAUGCAUAACUUUGAAGGCAGAUUUUUCUGAAAUCGGGAUUAUUAAUCUUGCAUAUUUAUCCAUUUAUUAAAAAAUCAAGAAUAGAUGCAUGCAAUAAUUUCUGAAUUUACAGUACCAGUUUUAAAGUAAGCUAUAAGAGGUACUGAAUAUGACAAAAUGUGAAACAAUUUCAAACAAGAAAACCAACGCAAUGAUUCAUGAAAAAGAAUAAUCGAAAAAAAUAAACAUGACACACACCAACCAUUGGUUAGUUUUUCAUCCUUAUUUGCUAAUAAUUGUAUUAGAUAUAGUUUAAAUUUUGAUAUAGGCUUGAUCAUAUGUUUUGACAGAUAUGUUUAAGAAUAUUUAUUUCUUUUUCAGGAAACUUUGACUGUGGCUGCCACAUAAAAUGAUUAUAUGAUAACAGUGAAGAAAGUUAGUCAGAAAACUUUUGUAUAUGUUUCAGAAAAUGUAAUUUUUUACAACAAAAAAAAACAAAAAAAAAGAAUGUGUAAAGAUUCUCCACUUUCAACUAGAUUGGAAGCUUGUAUUUAAAAUUUCAAAAUUACUCUUACUUUUCUUGUCGUGCUUAUAGAAACUGAACUUUAUAUGUUUCAUAAUUUAGAUCUUAUUCGUUAUUCCCCAACCCCCUGUAACUCUGUUUCAUUUUUACUUUGAAAAUGAAAUGAAACAGAAAAAAUUUACUUGUAAACUUAAUAAUGGUCUGUCUAGUCCAAAGGCUUUCAGUCGGUUAAGAAUGGAGAAUCUAAAAAAAAAAAAAUAAAAAAAAUGAAAAAAAAUAUAUUGUGUUUUUGUGUUUCCUGAAUUGUUAUAUAUUUUUCCAACUUUUUGUUAUUUUUUUGCAGUGCUUUUAGCUAAAAAAAUUAAAAUUAUUUCACUAGAAGCAGAGUAGAACAUAUUGGUGAAAAAAGAUUGAUUGAUUGAUUGAAUUUUGGUGUAUAAUGCCACUUUCAGCCCAAUUUGUAAUAUCUUGAUGGCCAUUUUUUAUGGGUUGAAAAAGUUAAAAGUAACAGUAGAUACCCACCAACUUUUCCCCCAGGGAACUGUCAAUUCUAGUCAAUUAAGCUUUGAGUCAAACACACCUACCACAGGUUGGGUUUGAAUUCUCAACCUCAUUUUGACAUGCUAGAGAUACAAUAAUACUUCUUAGACCACUGCCACUAAGGC